rnacentral:rRNA from 1 species
GGCUUAGAGUUUGAUCAUGGCUCAGGAUGAACGCUAGCGGCAGGCCUAACACAUGCAAGUCGAGGGGCAGCACGUUAAAGAGUUUACUCUUUAUGGUGGCGACCGGCGGACGGGUGCGUAACGCGUAUGCAACCUGCCUGACACAGGGGGAUAAUCCGAAGAAAUUUGGUCUAAUACCCCAUAAUACCGAUAUAGGCAUCUAUGUUGGUUGAAAGCUUUGGUGGUGUCAGAUGGGCAUGCGUUGUAUUAGCUAGUUAGUGAGGUAACGGCUCACCAAGGCGACGAUACAUAGGGGGACUGAGAGGUUAACCCCCCACACUGGUACUGAGACACGGACCAGACUCCUACGGGAGGCAGCAGUGAGGAAUAUUGGUCAAUGGGCGGAAGCCUGAACCAGCCAUGCCGCGUGCAGGAAGACGGCACUAUGAGUUGUAAACUGCUUUUGUACUAGGGUAAUUUGCGGUACGUGUACCGUAUUGAAAGUAUAGUACGAAUAAGGAUCGGCUAACUCCGUGCCAGCAGCCGCGGUAAUACGGAGGAUCCAAGCGUUAUCCGGAUUUAUUGGGUUUAAAGGGUGCGUAGGCGGCAGAUUAAGUUAGAGGUGAAAUUCCGAGGCUCAACCUUGGCACUGCCUCUGAUACUGGUUUGCUAGCGAGUAGAUGCUGUAGGCGGAAUGUGUGGUGUAGCGGU